UAAGACGUAGGGGACGAGCGUUGUCCGGAUUCAUUGGGCGUAAAGCGCGCGUAGGCGGUUUGGUAAGUCGGAUGUGAAAACCAGAGGCUCAACCUCUGGCCUGCAUCCGAUACUGCCCGACUAGAGGUAGGUAGGGGAGAUCGGAAUUCCUGGUGUAGCGGUGAAAUGCGCAGAUAUCAGGA
rnacentral:rRNA from 1 species